UACGGAGGGUGCGAGCGUUGUCCGGAAUCACUGGGCGUAAAGGGCGCGUAGGCGGCCCGGUAAGUAGGGGGUGAAAUCUUACGGCUUAACCGCAAGGCUGCCUUCUAAACUGCCAGGCUCGAGCACAGUAGAGGCAGGUGGAAUUCCCGGUGUAGCGGUGGAAUGCGUAGAGAUCGGGAAGAACAUCGGUGGCGAAGGCGGCCUGCUGGGCUGUUGCUGACGCUGAGGCGCGACAGCGUGGGGAGCAAACAGG
rnacentral:rRNA from 1 species